rnacentral:rRNA from 1 species
AUGUUGAGUUUGAUGAUGGCUCUGAUUGAACGCUAUCCAGAUGCUUGACACAUGCUAAUCGAACGACAAACAUUUACAUUAAGUAAUUGUUUGUAGUGGUGAACAGGUGAGUAGUGGUAAUGGACUACCUUGUAGUAAGGAUUUAAAUACCUUAUAAAUUAUUUUAGCGCAGCCAAAAAGAAAAAGCGCGCAGUUAAAAGUAAAAAAGGAAUGUAUAUAUUCCGCUUCAAGAUGUCUUGUACCCCCGGGAAAGUAAUAGUUGAGCGUAACGACUAAACUAGCGAAAAGCCCGUAGUCGAAACCGAAAGGUUGAUCGACCACAUUGGGUCUGAAAAAACCCCAAUACGUACAGUACAGCAGUGAGGGAUAUUGGUCAAUGGCCUAACGGCUGAACCAGCAAUCUGGACAAAUGUAAAAGGAUUUUGUAUUUAUUGCAAAGUGUACUUUUUCUGGAAUAGUAUUUCAGCUGCCCGUUUAUAUAGGGUGUAGUGCUCUAUGGGUAGAAAAGUUAAAUCUUUAUUUGGCUUCGGCUAUAAGUGAUUUAUUCGCAUAAAGUUAAUUAGGAAUACAGAUAAUGACUAUUUUCUGAUAGUAAGUCUUGACCAAAACACGUGCCAGCAGUCGCGGCAACACGGGACAGACGAGUGUUAUUCAUCUUUAAUAGGUUUAAAGGGUACCUAGACUGCAAAUUUCAGCCCCCUUUGAAAAGGGAAGGAACGUUUUUGCUAGAGUUUGAUGUGAGAGGGUUUUAGUACUAACAGAGUAGAGAUGAAAUUCUUUGAUACUGUAGGGCACUGGUAACGGCGAAGGCAGACCUCUAAUUAAAAACUGACGUUGAGGGACGAAGGCUUAGGUAACAAACAGGAUUAGGUACCCUAAUAGUCCAAGCAGACAAUGAUGAGUGUCAUAGAUUAGAUUUAUUUUGAUCUAUAAAUGAAAGUGUAAGCACUCCACCUUAAGAGUAAUGCGGCAACGCCGGAACUGAAAUCAUUAGACCGUUUCUUGAUACCAGUAGUGAAGUAUGUUGUUUAAUUCGAUGACCCGCGAAAAAUCUUACCACAAUUUGAAUGCUUUAGUACCCGAACUUUUUGUUAAGUCAUAAGGCAAGUUAAAAUAGUAUUUAUACUAUUUUGAAGUAAGUACUAAUUUACAGGUGUUGCAUGGCUGUCUUCAGUUUAUGUCGUGAGGCGCAGGUUAGAUCCACUAAUAAACGUGUAACCCUUACUUUAUUUGAUAUAGAGUAGUUUCCCUGGGAUAUCGGAAUGAUAACUGGGACCAAGACAAGUCCUCAUGGCCCAAACAUUGUGGGCUACAGACGUGCCACAUAUACCUAGACAAAGGGAUGCUAUAAUGUGAAUAUUAAACUAAUCCCUAAAAAUAGGUUAAAAUAAGAAUUGUAGUCUGAAAUUCGACUGCAUGAAUAAGGAAUUACUAGUAAUCGUGAAUCACCACGACACGGUGAAUGUUCUCUCAGCUAGGUACUAACCACUCGUCACAUGCUGAAAGAAGUAUGCGCAAUAAGUUUGGUUACUAUUAGCUUAUAAAGGGAAGAGAUCCCUAUAUGUUAGUAAAUGAUCUUCGUAUGCGUGACUUUGAUUGGUGUUAAGUCGAAAUACGGUUCGUGUAGUGGAAAUUGCACGGGAUUAAUUAAAGUUAAAAAUAAAAAUAUU